rnacentral:rRNA from 1 species
ACGCUGGCGGCGUGCCUAAUACAUGCAAGUCGAGCGAAUCUGAUGGGAGCUUGCUCCCUGAUGAUUAGCGGCGGACGGGUGAGUAACACGUGGGUAACCUGCCUGUAAGACUGGGAUAACUCCGGGAAACCGGGGCUAAUACCGGAUAACUUUUUUCUUCGCAUGARGGAGAAUUGAAAGAUGGCUUCGGCUAUCACUUACAGAUGGACCCGCGGCGCAUUAGCUAGUUGGUGAGGUAACGGCUCACCAAGGCGACGAUGCGUAGCCGACUUGAGAGGGUGAUCGGCCACACUGGGACUGAGACACGGCCCAGACUCCUACGGGAGGCAGCAGUAGGGAAUCUUCCGCAAUGGACGAAAGUCUGACGGAGCAACGCCGCGUGAGUGAUGAAGGUUUUCGGAUCGUAAAACUCUGUUGUUAGGGAAGAACAAGUAUCGUUCGAAUAGGGCGGUACCUUGAC